AUUGAACGCUAGCGGCAUGCUUUACACAUGCAAGUCGAACGGUAACAGGCCGCAAGGUGCUGACGAGUGGCGAACGGGUGAGUAAUGCAUCGGAACGUGCCCAGUCGUGGGGGAUAACUACUCGAAAGAGUAGCUAAUACCGCAUACGAUCUAUGGAUGAAAGCGGGGGACCGUAAGGCCUCGCGCGAUUGGAGCGGCCGAUGUCAGAUUAGGUAGUUGGUGGGGUAAAGGCUCACCAAGCCAACGAUCUGUAGCUGGUCUGAGAGGACGACCAGCCACACUGGGACUGAGACACGGCCCAGACUCCUACGGGAGGCAGCAGUGGGGAAUUUUGGACAAUGGGCGCAAGCCUGAUCCAGCAAUGCCGCGUGCAGGAAGAAGGCCUUCGGGUUGUAAACUGCUUUUGUACGGAACGAAACGGCUCUGGUUAAUACCCGGGGCUAAUGACGGUACCGUAAGAAUAAGCACCGGCUAACUACGUG
rnacentral:rRNA from 1 species